rnacentral:tRNA from 1 species
GCGGGAUUGGCGGAACUGGUAGACGCGCGGGAUUUAGGUUCCCGUGGGCUUGCCCGUGGGGGUUCGAGUCCCCCAUCCCGCACCA